ensembl:lncRNA
UUCCAGUGCGUCACCACUCUCUGUUGCUGUGUGACAGAUGGCAGCAGAGGGGCAGUCUGAUAGGAUGGUGUUUUGUCAUUCUUCCAGAUUACAUUUUUUUGUUAUUCCUGGAGCUUACUAGUUUGCAUUCUCAUCUAAUUUCUAAGCAGUUUCAAAGCUACAGGUAGGAUCAGUGCUACAGUCUAUGUGCAGUGCGUGUCAUCUCUGUGUUCAGCAUCUUGCAGGAAGAGUGAAAUUGGACAUAGGGUGAAGGGAAGUACUGAAGCAGAGAGAGGAUAUUUCAUUCCUCUCAGUAAGAUUUCCAGCAAGCACACGCUUGAAGAAACUGAAAGUGCUCAUGUUGUGCUGUGGUGAAGGGGAUAAAAACCAAAAGACAAAGAGGCAAUGAACAGAUGUAAUAAGCAGUAGUAAGGAAGUGUGGAAAGUCCUCUUCUACGUGGAAGUAUUGCCAGAAUAUGACAUUUGUUUUGUGUUGAUAAGAAAAAUCUACUCCAUACUGAAAAGAUACCGUCCCUAGAGGGCUGAGAAAAUGAAAAACAAGCAGCAUAAUUAGCAUAAUUAACAAACAGAUUUGUUUAUGGUGUUGUGUUUUCAUUUCAGCUGGCAUGCAAUUGCUUUCUUAUGGGUGUCUGGUAUGAGUCUAUGUUUUAGUUCUACAAGAAAAACAAUGUUGAUAACAUUCCAGUGUUUACAGUUCUUGCUAAGCAGUGUUGUACAGAGCCAAGGGUGCUCCAGUUUCUCAGCUCAUACUAACAAAAGGCUGGGGAGGCACAGGCCGGGAGGGGACAGCAUCAGGACAGCUGACUUAAAAUAGCCAAAGAGAUAUUCCAAACCACAUGAUACCACUCCAAAGGAGAGUUUUGUAGGGGGUGGGAGUUCAUCUCACUCUCUUCCACUCUCUAGAAGUAAGCUGUGCAUCAGUCAAGAGGUGGUAAUUGCUUGUGCAUUACUUGUUGUAUACAUUCAUAUAUAUACAUAAAAAUAUUUUCAUUAAUGUUGUCUUUUUUUCUUAGUGAAUAGUUUUAUCUCAAGCCAUGAAUUCUACUUAGUUUUUCCAAUUCUCUUUCCCCAUCCCACUGGAAAGGUGGGUAGUGAGCAAAUGCUAUGUGGUUCAGAACGCUCAGCCUGCUGCCAGGUUAAACCUCUACGAGUGAUAACAGUAGUUAUCACAAGAAAUACUUCCAACUUAGGCCUUUCAGUUGUUAUAAUAUCAUGAGGAUGUUGUUUUUGCAAAAGUGUUUCACGUGAUGUGAGAAGUGCAGCAUGUGUUUAAUAUGGCCUUUGAUGCAAUUCUUUUAGAACUUUGAAAAUAAGCUUUGGUAAUGAACUGGCAGGCUCUGCUCUACACUGCUCACCCUAAUGGGAUGGAAGAUAGUUGUGAACGUAUGACUGUCUCGGGUUGAAUUUUUCUUUGCUGCUUGACAGACCUUCCCUUUCCUGUAGAAAGCCAGCAAAGAUGUGAGGAGGACUUGCUGCCUGACUGAGAUAAAAACAAAACCGUUGUACUAAAAAUGAAAAACAAAUGUGAGAUAAUACAACAUAAAAGGAGUCAAGAUUAAUAAAUCAAACAAAUGGGAAAGGGAGUGCCUCCUAACAGUGCUGCAAACUCAACAGUAUGGAGUAAAAGAAGGGACAUCCUUAUGUCAGUAUGUCAUUUUGUCUCUUCCUCCUGGAGACCACAACGGUAGGACUGGAGCUUUCAGGGAACUGCAGUUCCCCCUUAGUAGCUGUCCCAGUUCCAUCAGUUCCUUGUAUGAUGUCAGGAUAUGGAAUACUUAUGGAAAACUGAGGAGGGGGGUACACAACAACCAGAGACCUGUGUUGAAAACUCCCUAAUCUUCUAGACACAAGUGGGAUACCACCUCAAGGAAAAUCUUCAACCAACUAGAUUAUCUAACACUAAACAUACCUAUUUAACUUGUCAACUCACCACCUACGUAUCAAGAACCCAGACUCGAGACAACACUGGAUCCAAGAAGCGGUGAAAUUUUGCGCUCUCUUUCUCUUUUUCCUCUUGAUCUUCUUUUACUUGUUUUUCUUUAGUAGCCAUUGCCUACAUUUGCCAUAAAGUAGUUGAUAAGGAAAUAACACCUCACCAAUUACCCUUAUUCAUAAUACUUAUUAAUUACUUAUAGAAAGCUGCCUAAUUCGGCCUUGAAGUAGUUGAUUAGUCGUUGCUAGAAAGCUCAAUAAACUGUCUUGUAUUG